AUAACGGCGCGAAGCGCUGCUAAGACCGGAUAAGCUCCCGGGACGUAGGACACAGGGAGAAAAGGCUCUGGAAACAGAGGCGCUUGGGGAGGGGGCUGCGGCCCAUCAGGUAGUUGGCGGGGUAAAAGCCCACCAAGCCGACGACGGGUAGGGGGCCUGAGAGGGUGAACCCCCACACUGGGACUGAGACACGGCCCAGACUCCUACGGGAGGCAGCAGUGAGGAAUAUUGGUCAAUGGGCGCAAGCCUGAACCAGCGACGCCGCGUGGGCGAUGAAGGUCUUCGGAUCGUAAAGCCCUUUUCUGCGUGACGAGGAAGGACGGUAGCGCAGGAAGAAGUCUCGGCUAACUACGUGCCAGCAGCCGCGGUAAAACGUAGGAGGCCAGCGUUAUCCAGAAUUACUGGGCGUAAAGGGCGUGUGGGCGGAGCGGCAAGUGGGUCGUGAAAGAGCCUGGCUAAACUGGGCGGGGUCGAUCCAGACUGCGGUUCUUGAGUUCGACAGAGGGACGUGGAAUUCCGGGUGUAGUGGUGAAAUGCGUAGAGAUCCGGAGGAACACCAGUGGCGAAGGCGGCGUCCUGGGUCGAAACUGACGCUGAGAGGCGAAAGCAUGGGGAGCGAACGGGAUUAGAAACCCCGGUAGUCCAUGCCGUAAACGAUGCCGACUAGGUGUUGCUGGGGGGGAACCCCUGGGAGUGCCAAAGCUAACGCGGUAAGUCGCCG
rnacentral:rRNA from 1 species